rnacentral:tRNA from 1 species
GGCGGGUUGCCAGAGAGGCCGAUCGGGGCCGACUGUAAAUCGGCUGCACCACGCCACGCAGGUUCGAAUCCUGCACCCGCCAC